AUUGAACGCUGGCGGCAGGCCUAACACAUGCAAGUCGAGCGGAUGAAGGGAGCUUGUUCCUGGAUUCAGCGGCGGACGGGCGAGUAAUGCACAGGAAUAUGCCUGGCAGUGGGGGCUAACGUCCGGUCACGGGAGCUAAUACCGCAUACGUCCUGAGGGAGAAAGUGGGGGAUCAUUGGACAUAACGCUAUCAGAUGAGACUAGGUCGGAUUAGCUAGCUGGAGGGGUAAAGGCCUACCAAGGCGACGAUCCGUAACUGGUCUGAGAGGCUGAUCAGUCACACUGGAACUGAGACACGGUCCAGACUCCUACGGGAGGCAGCAGUGGGGAAUAUUGGACAAUGGGCGAAAGCCUGGUCCAGCCAUGCCGCGUGUGUGAAGAAGGUCUUCGGAUUGUAAAGCACUUUUAUUAGGGAAGAAGAGCAGUAAGUUAAUACCUGGCUGUUUUGACGUUACCAACUGAGUAAGCACCGGCUAACUACGUG
rnacentral:rRNA from 1 species